ensembl:snoRNA small nucleolar RNA SNORD127
UGGCAACAGUGAUGACGACUCUUGACUCUGCAAUGCAACUUGGAGACACCAGUCCCUCUAAACUGAUGUUGCCA